rnacentral:rRNA from 1 species
GACGAACGCUGGCGGCGUGCUUAACACAUGCAAGUCGAACGGAAAGGCCCCUUUGGGGGUACUCGAGUGGCGAACGGGUGAGUAACACGUGAGUAACCUGCCCUUGACUUCGGGAUAACUUCAGGAAACUGGGGCUAAUACCGGAUAGGAAUCCUUGCUGCAUGGUGGGGGUUGGAAAGCUUCGGGGGUUUUGGAUGGACUCGCGGCUUAUCAGCUUGUUGGUGGGGUAGUGGCUUACCAAGGCUUUGACGGGUAGCCGGCCUGAGAGGGCGACCGGCCACAUUGGGACUGAGAUACGGCCCAGACUCCUACGGGAGGCAGCAGUGGGGAAGAUUGCACAAUGGGCGGAAGCCUGAUGCAGCAACGCCGCGUGCGGGAUGACGGCCUUCGGGUUGGAAACCGCUUUCAGCAGGGGCGAAGCUUGUGGUGACGGUACCUGCAGAAGAAGCACCGGCUAACUACGUG